rnacentral:rRNA from 1 species
UGCGGUAUUUUAACUGUACUAAGGUAGCAUAAUAAUUUGCCUUAUAAUUUGAGGCUAGAAUGAAUGGUUUGACGAAGGUUAAUCUGUCUCUAUUUUAUUUUUUAGAAAUUAAUUUUCAUAGUGAAAAAGCUUGAAUUUUUUAAAGGGACGAGAAGACCCUACUGAGCUUGUAAUUUUAUUAUUAUUGUUAUUUUUAUUGGAGCAGUAAUAUAUAAAUUUUAAUUGGGGUGAUUAAGGAAUAAAAUAAAUAUAUUUAGUAACUUCCUUAUGAAGAAUAUUGUUAGAUGAAGUAACCAAUAAAGUUACAUGAUUAUUGUAAUAAAUAUUGCUUAUAAUAUAGUUACCAUAGGGAUAACAGCGUAAUUUAUUUAGAGAGUUCUUAUUGAAAAAUGAGAUUGCGACCUCGAUGUUGGAUUAAAGUAACCUUAAGG